UGAGUUCUGCCUGUCAGUCUCUGGAUUUGGAUUGCUCACCCGUGUACCGACCUUCAGCCUGUGAGUACCUGAGAUUGCCUGUCCCCUUAACUGCCUGCUCUUUUGGAUUUUGACUCGGACCUGGACCUGGAACCCCCCUUUCGGAUUUGCCCUUGGAAACCUCUGCCUAAUCAAUCGCCUUCACGAUAUCGGACCCGGACUGGACUCGGACAAAGGACCUUGGAUAAUCCUGCACGGACUCUGCCGCCCUCAGGGGCCAGAAGAAGCCCCGACAAGCCCACUCUCCACCAGGAGCUGCCAGCCGCCGAGCGUGAGCCGCACGCAGCAAGGGCCGUGCAACCCCUUCUUUUAAUAAAAUAUCAAAGCGUCA